rnacentral:rRNA from 1 species
AGUCGAGCGCCCCGCAAGGGGAGCGGCAGACGGGUGAGUAACGCGUGGGAACGUACCAUUUGCUACGGAAUAACUCAGGGAAACUUGUGCUAAUACCGUAUGAGCCCGAAAGGGGAAAGAUUUAUCGGCAAAUGAUCGGCCCGCGUUGGAUUAGCUAGUUGGUGGGGUAAAGGCCUACCAAGGCGACGAUCCAUAGCUGGUCUGAGAGGAUGAUCAGCCACACUGGGACUGAGACACGGCCCAGACUCCUACGGGAGGCAGCAGUGGGGAAUAUUGGACAAUGGGCGCAAGCCUGAUCCAGCCAUGCCGCGUGAGUGAUGAAGGCCCUAGGGUUGUAAAGCUCUUUCACCGGUGAAGAUAAUGACGGUAACCGGAGAAGAAGCCCCGGCUAACUUCGUGCCAGCAGCCGCGGUAAUACGAAGGGGGCUAGCGUUGUUCGGAUUUACUGGGCGUAAAGCGCACGUAGGCGGGCUAAUAAGUCAGGGGUGAAAUCCCGGGGCUCAACCCCGGAACUGCCUUUGAUACUGUUAGUCUUGAGUAUGGUAGAGGUGAGUGGAAUUCCGAGUGUAGAGGUGAAAUUCGUAGAUAUUCGGAGGAACACCAGUGGCGAAGGCGGCUCACUGGACCAUUACUGACGCUGAGGUGCGAAAAGCGUGGGGAGCNAACAGGAUUANAUACCCUGGUAGUCACCGCCGUAAACGAUGAAUGUUAGCCC